CAUCUCUGGUACAUUCAUUCUGUGCUCUACUUUCUUAUCAACCACCCAACACUCUGAACCAUACAUCAUAGCUGGUCUCACUACAGUCUUGUAGAAUUUAUCUUUCAGCCUCAUUGGAAUUCUUUUAUCGUAUAAGACACCAGACGUUUCUCUCCACUUCAACCAUCCGUACUUAAUCCUGUGUCUUAUAUCCUCAUCAAUACCACCGCUCUUUUGCACAACUGAUCCUAAAUAUUUAAAACUCUCCACCUCUCCAAUCACGUCCUCGCCAAUUGUCACUGACCUUCUCUUUUCACCUACCUCGUGUUCUCCUUUGUUAAACGUGUACUCUAUAUAUUCUGUCUUACUUCUACUUAUUCUUGAACCCUUUCCUUCAAGAACUGAUCUCCACACCUCUAGUCAUUGAUUAAUUUCCUCCCUAUUUUCUCCUAUUAGCACUAUUACAAGUAGUUUUUAUUAGUAUAUUGAUAUUUAUUAAAAUAUGCUUAAAAAAUAUAAAAAUUUCUUAGUAAAUUAGACGCAAUAUUAAUAUUUUGUUUAUCUAUUGGUAGAGACAGAAUUAAAAAAUAAUUUCUUUUCAUAGUUCACUUUAUCACGCUAGAUUGUGAAUUUCAAAUUUAUUAAUUUAGAUUCUUAAUUAGCUAAAGAUCAUUAUUGGUUUGUAGUGUGAAAAUUUUUAAUGGCUCUUAAGAUAUCAUUGCUAAUGAAGCGUAUUAUGCUAAAAUAAACAUAGUUCUAAUAUCAAAAUUUAUUUUAUUUUGGUGCGAAGCUGAAAAGUUGUAAAUUUUGCAUCAUAUGCUUUUUUAAAUUUAUAUAUACAGAAUGGAACGGAUCUAACUGACAAUUCAUAUAACUUAUGAUCUACAUAACAUUUUAUACUUUUUUUUUUUUAAUCAAUUUUUACAAUAUAGAACUAUAAUUAAAAUAUGUUUUUCGCAAUUACAAAAAGUAUUUUAAAAAUUAAUUUUUUUUAAGAUUUUAAGAUAGCCAUUUUAUAGAUAAGUUUUAAAGAAAAAUUUGGUACCAAAAACUCUUAUUUUAAUUCAGUAGUUACGUUUAUACAGCGUUUUGAAAUUUGUUAAAUUUUGAUGUUUUAUACAAUUUUCUUAUGGUAUCAAAUGUCAGUCCAUAUUAUUGAAAGUACAGAAGUAAACACUUAUUACAUUAUUUACUGGUAACAGUACUCGAUUUCUUUUCACAUAAUGAUCAAAAAUCACAUAAUGGUCUUCUAUUACUCUUUUUCUAUAAAAUUUGCUUUCCUUCUGAAUACUUACCAAAGUCUUAUCUUUUCUGCCAUCAAAAUAAAUACCGCGUAUAAUUUUAUUGCGAUUUGCAUCGUGUAAUGCUGAUUUGAUUUUCGUUUUUUCACGGCGCAAUUUGAACGAUCAAUGACAACACUUAGAUCCUUUGAUGUAAUGAUUCCAACAUCUUUCACAGAAGAAGUUAUAAUAGCAGCUGCUCUGUCAGAGACUCCAGUACGAUCGCAGGCGAGGGCUAAUGAUGAAGAGUUUAAAAAAUUUUGAGGGGCGCUUGUUUAGUUAAAAAAUCUAUGGAACAAAUCAAGCAGUUAACCAAGUUGACGGAACUCAGUUCACAAUUGUUUUACUAUACAUAUCAGCACAUGUGAUAACAUUUGUAACUGCUUAAUUGUUGGCUACGAACAUGCUGAAAAGAACAACUCGGCUAUUGUCCACAAAUACGAGGUGUGUUAAUAAAGUAAUGAGAUUGAUUUUUUAUAAUUGUUUAUUGAAAUAAAACGAAUAUUGUAUAUAAUCUCCUUCAAAAUAAUUGCUUUGGGAAUUUACACAACACUGGAGUCGAUGUUUCUAUUGUUCGUAACAGUUCUGGAACUCAGUUACUGGAAUAAAUUUCAGUUGGUCAGUUCCAGACAUUUUAAUAUUUCCUUGUGUCCUAAAAUAUCGUCAUUUAAGGUAAAUUUUUAUUCUUGGAAAGAGAAAAAAAUCACAAAGGCUCAAGCGGAUUAGAGGCCACUAGAAUAUUUUAAAUUACCAAAAACUGGUUAAUUGAAAGAGUGGUCACUUUCAAUCUGCUUUAAAAAAUGUAGACACAUUUCCCCUCUAUUAUCCUUUUUGAUUUGUGACAGAAUUUUUGGAACCAUUUUUGCGCAGUUUAUUCUCAUCUCUAAAUCAACGGUCAACAUUUAAUGAAUGAUGGUGUGAGUAAAGCCGAACUGAUAUGGUUAGUUUUACUAUAGUAUGGUUCUACCCACUAUAUAAUUUUUAACCGUUUAUUAUUCAAAAUUUUUUUCCCCCUUUUAUGAAAUAACUA